UGCUGACAUAGGUUUAAUAUAAAUAUUUAAAAAAAUAUUUCUCAUUAAUCAAAGAAUAUCAAAAGCCAAUUAUUGGCAGAUUUUGUGUCACAGAAAAUGAAUAAUAUGAAUGGAGCAGGCCCUUAUGAGUUACAGAGGAGACAGAUGCUAAAGUGCUCCAUCUUGAAACAAAAUUUUUGACAAGUUCUUUCAAUUCUUAAUGUUCUUUGUCAUCCAUACAUCUUGCAUUGUAUCUUGCAAAGAUUAAUUUACAAACAUUUGUAAAAAAAAUGUAUACCCUCUUAAUUCUUGUAGAAAAAGAUUUUUAUGAAGCAAAUACAAAAAAAAA
rnacentral:lncRNA from 1 species